rnacentral:rRNA from 1 species
ACGCACAGCGUAAUUUCUUUGGGAAACUGGUUCUUAACUAAAGAGUGCGGGAAGACGAGGGAGAACAUGUGUUAAUUAAAAUACGUGAGACCAAACCCGGCUGAACUCAGCAGAAGAUAGAGAGAUAUUGAGGCCCUUCGGGGCUGCAGUGGAGGUGCUGCAAGGUUGUCGUCAGCUGUGCCGUGAGGUGUCGAAUAAGUGCCAUAACGAGCGCAACCCUCCGUCAGUGCCUUAAGGUAAUGGUGGGCACUCUGGCGGUACUGCCACCGUAAGGUGUGAGGAAGAGGGGGAAGACGUCAAAUCAGCACGGCCCUUACGUCCGGGGCUACACGCGUGUUACAAUGGGUGGUACAGAGAGUCAACCGCCGGCAACGUCGGUUUAAUCAAUAAAGCCAUCCUCAGUUCGGAUUGGGGUAUGCAACCCGACCCCAUGAAGCUGGAUUCGCUAGUAAUCGACAUCAGCCUUGGUGCGGGAAGGCAGUACCGGGCUUGUUCACACCCCCUAAUCACGAAUUUUUUAUUCUAUUCGUAACACCCUUCAGCAUUUUUUCUUUCUUUGCUUCCCCUA